AUCAAGUUAGCAAAUAUUUGCGAUAAACUUGAAGUUUAUAGAUGAAGGCUUAUUUUUCUGAUU
rnacentral:tRNA from 1 species